rnacentral:rRNA from 1 species
CCUACGGGAGGCAGCAGUGAGGAAUAUUGGUCAAUGGACGAGAGUCUGAACCAGCCAAGUAGCGUGAAGGAUGACUGCCCUAUGGGUUGUAAACUUCUUUUAUAUGGGAAUAAAAUGUUCCACGUGUGGGAUUUUGUAUGUACCAUAUGAAUAAGGAUCGGCUAACUCCGUGCCAGCAGCCGCGGUAAUACGGAGGAUCCGAGCGUUAUCCGGAUUUAUUGGGUUUAAAGGGUGCGUAGGUGGAUUGUUAAGUCAGUUGUGAAAGUUUGCGGCUCAACCGUAAAAUUGCAGUUGAAACUGGCAGUCUUGAGUACAGGAGAGGUGGGCGGAAUUCGUGGUGUAGCGGUGAAAUGCUUAGAUAUCACGAAGAACUCCGAUUGCGAAGGCAGUUCACUGGACUGCAACUGACACUGAGGCUCGAAAGUGUGGGUAUCAAACAGGAUUAGAUACCCGAGUAGUC